UUUUUUUUAGUGAUCGAGCUUUAGCUCUCAGCCUAUAAAUAAAGUGAACUUCCUUGUCUUCUGUAUUUGAACACAUGAUGUCUAUUUAAAUUUGUGGAUGUUUCCAACUUCCUUUCUGAUUUCCGGACUUUCCGGACUCGGACUCCAGCAGCACCGGGCCGCCGUGUUUCGGCCGCCGCCUCAGCCGUCUCUGCAUGCGGUCAGACGUGCUGGACAUCCCGGGUGUUUGACCCACAGCGGGUCCCAUGCCGCCGCCGCCGCCGCUGACUGACCGACUGGCUGCACUUUGCUCGGGUUCAUUUAGGGGGCGCCAGUGUAUAAUGUGCGCAGAUUGAGCGACUGAGAUUUGGACAGAGAGGAGAGCAGCAGGAGCAGUUUGCUGUAAGAAGCCGUUCCAGUCUGACGCAGGAGGAGUGGAGGAACAUCUUCCAGGAGUGAACAUCGUCCCCCCACCCACCCUGGGUGGAGCAGCUCACCCCCCGCUGAGUUUACCUGACCUCUCUGUCACUGUUAGGACUGCAAUCCUCUUCUUGAUGACCUGUGUGUUGGAGUUUUCCUGCAAGACCAAACUGGUUUCAGUGUUACAGAUAAAAACCUGCGUCAUGUCGAAGCACAAAAUCACACAAAUUCAGAGCACAGCUCAAAUCUAGAAACAGCUGAUGAGUAAACACCUUUUAAAGUCGCAUGGAAACGAUCUCUGGAACAUCCUGUUUUCUGAAUUAACCCGUUAGCAUCAGCUGACGAGCCUACAGGUGUCAAACCAGCUGCUUUUAUCUGCACAUUCUGUGGUCUCCAUUCAAGUUUAGAAUUUAAAUUAUACACUUAUAGUUGCUUAUUUAAAUUUUAUGUUUUUUCAAAUAUUAUUUUGCAGACUUUUAUUUAUUUUAUAAAUGUGCUGCCUUUGCUUUGCAGCACUCUGUAGCCUAAGAAAAUAACACAUUGCUGAUUUAAAAAAAUAACAAAAAUACAAAAAAAUAUUGUGUCUUGGAUAUAUUUAAUGAUUUGCAUUCAUUAUUCUUUUAUUUUUGUGUGUUUCUUGUUUUUGUUUCAUCUCUUUGCAGAUGGCCUGAGAUGGCAGCGUACCGAAGGCAAAUUUGAGCUCGGAUCAUUCGGAGCAUCCUGCCACGGACCGAGCGAUCAGGAGUGCACUCCAACAUUUUGGGCAGGGGGGAAUAAAAUGUGCACACAAUACAAACCCACGGCGGAUCAAACACAGUUGUCACAGUUUGCUGAGAGCUCCAGUUUUCUGGCCUCGCACUCCGUGUUUGGGAAGAAAUUUGGACGUUUUUCUCUAAUAUUCAGGCUGUUCGUCAUGUUUCUGUACAUAUCUGCACGUUGUAGUGUAAAAUUAACUCUUACAGAGUGUUAAACUUUGAAGUAGGCAUGUAGAAGAAAUACUAAUUGUUGACAUGCUGGAAGAAUAAAUGAAUUUUGUAUCGUAUUUUGAAUAAUUAUUUCAAUAAAUUCUGAGGAAGAGAAGAAAGGAACCAAAUGUGUUAAAUUGAACCUGGUGUGAGGAAUUUGAGGAAGCGGGACUGAGAUGAAGUCGGGAUUUUUCUCUGUUUAAAGUCAGACAUUCACAGCUGAGGGCUCAGUGAGUCUGUGAAGCAUCUGGAUUGUUUGACAGCAUGGAUCAUUUCUUUAUCACGUCUCCUUUCAGGCCAUCAUCACAAUGAAUUUUGAUUUUUCAGCCACGAGUCUCACGGUAAAGAUCGAUGUGUAAGAACGACGAGGAGUUCCUGUCUAAACCUAAAACUGGUUCCUAAAACCAGUUUGGUUUUAGGAAUAAGUCAAGGCAGAAAUUUCAGUUUAUGCCAAGGAGAAAAAUGUCAUUUAUGUCAAAAGUCAUUUAUGUGUAUUACAAACUGAGGUUAUGGCACAAAUAAAUCACCACGUUUGGUCGCAACUUAAUAUGGGAAUGUUUCAGCAACAGGACAAAAACACAAACCAAAUAUCAAAUAAAAAAUACUCACUGCUACUUAGGAGGCUCUAUAGAAACGACUUAUUUGUCUAACAGUAAGUUUAAUAAAGAAAUAUUUGAUCAAGUCUAAAACUGUCAGUACAGGAUUCCAUAAUUCUUCUAAUAUAAAAAUGAAAAACAAAGUUAGGGAAGUUUAAUGUUUCAUAAAUUAGUCAUUUAAAGGAAGGUGGAAAUGACUCCUUGGAUCAAUAAUAUAGAAUAAAUGUUUAAGGUUGUUAUAUUUCGUGUGACAGACGGGUUUUCCAUACAUCCACCACAGCCGCUUCGUCUGAUAUAUUAUAAAAAGAAUCACAUUUCUGAUGAAUAUAGAAUAAAAGCAUUCCUCGAG